UAAUUUUUCUAUAAUUUUACCCUCUUUGGUUUUUCUCUCUGGCGUUCCGAGAACCUUAGGCCUGUCAAGGGUUUUGAGCGUUCUUGCGUGAAUGAGCGCUUUGUAGGUCUCCUGAAGCUUUUUUACCUUCCUCAACGAUGUCUGAUAGGAAACGUUGAUGGAAGGCAACAAUCUGUCUCUUUUUGCGCGCUCUUCUCGUAAACCUGAGAGACGUCUAGGGUUAACUUUUCAUCUUCUUUUUUUUGUCCUUGCGGUUUGGCUUCCUUGCUUCGCAGGAAGUUUGACAUUGCACGGGUGGCUUACUCGGCUCCUUUGUUUUUGUUCGAUUUCGCUACGUCGACGACGUUCCCUUUUCCUGUUGGAUCGGAAGUUACUACAUUUUGAUCUGAAGUAAGGACGGGAGUUCGCUAGCUGUGAAGGUGAAAUCUUGGAAUCUUUCUUGAUGAGAAGGGAAAAAGGAAAUUGCAUUAUGAGGCUUAAUCUUAAUGAGUGAGCUGCAGAUAAAUUUCUAUUUUUUUUCUCUUCUACAUGAUGAAACUCAUCUAAUUGGGCUUGCUAACAUGAGAGAUACCAAGACUAAUGCUAUAAACAUAUCAUAAGGUUGCAUGUUGUUGUUUUUUUUGUUUAUGAUUAAAGAAUACUUGUGGGCAAUGAUGAUGAUUUUUAGGCCAGACAUUGUCUGAGUAGGACUACCUUGUAAUACUUUUGUAUUUUCUAUGAUGUUUAUGUUGAAUUUCAGAAUUGCCAGAAACUUCAAGGAACCAUGUCUGUGAUCACUAGGGGGAUUCAUGUACUAUGAUAUGAAGAAUAUUACUCUACUUGUCUUUGUUCAUGGAUCCCGUUGUCAAUUGAGCUACUUGUUAUUUGCUCUUUUUUUUUUUGGAUCACCUUCUUUCCUUUUGAUUAUUGUCUUUCUUUGUUUUUGGGUGUUAUACAGUGUUGUGCAGUGUGGUAACCUGGUAGGUAUUAGUGUCUUUGAAAUUAUAAUGCUGUGUCAGAUGUAUAUUUGUGGUGGAUGGGCUUGUUGUGGAAGAAUCAUGGCUCUUUAGGUUGUUGCACCAAGUUCUUCUGCUUCAAAUAAAAGUGAUCAGUGCCUAUGUU